UGGGUUGCGCUCACAGACGUUAGGUUUCUGGCCCACUCGGGCAGUUGGCCAGCAGCCGCCACUUGCAGCACUUCAGGCCAAGACGGGUGUCGCUGAAAAUGUGCUUCGCACUUGUCAUUUUCCACCUUGCAGCUGACCGUGAAAAUUUGCCCUGGCUGCAACACGCACAGCAGCCGCAGACGAAACCCGCCCCAAAGUAGUCCAAGUUCAAUGGAAACGCACUUGCGUGUAUCUGUCAUGGCCAAAACAUAACUGGCUCUUGUGUCCGGGGGGCGGGGGGACUUGCCUCUCCUUCCGUUGCGUCUGCGGGCGAAGGCCAACGGUGGCGGAGUGCGGAGAUGAUUAGCACAAUGCUACCACGAGAUUUUCGGUUAGUUAUAUCUGGAGAAGUACUUCGGAACUUUUGGAAAUUUAUCAUAUCUAAACCGAAUUGAUCUCCGAAUAUACUUUGCUUUACUGUAUCAUUUAUUUCUCUGGGCAACGACAGCACUCCCUUCCUUUCUCCACCCCUUUUUUUCCGUUCGCAUUUUCAGGUUAUGCUAAUCUCGGCCUGCAAUUGUCUGGCAUAACAAUGGGCAGCUAGACGGACCAGCGAUAAAGCACCAGAAGGCGCAGAUCCAAAGACCGCCACAAUCGCAGCCACAUCCCACAUAGAACCGCACUCGGGACUGGUCUGGAGUUCCGCUUUGUGUAAUAAGCAAACAUCGAUGGCGAUUGCGCAGGCGCGCAGAUCACUCAUACGCCAUGGACACAG